rnacentral:rRNA from 1 species
AUUGAACGCUGGCGGCAGGCCUAACACAUGCAAGUCGAGCGGAUGAAGGGAGCUUGCUCCUGGAUUCAGCGGCGGACGGGUGAGUAAUGCCUAGGAAUCUGCCUGGUAGUGGGGGAUAACGUCCGGAAACGGGCGCUAAUACCGCAUACGUCCUGAGGGAGAAAGUGGGGGAUCUUCGGACCUCACGCUAUCAGAUGAGCCUAGGUCGGAUUAGCUAGUUGGUGGGGUAAAGGCCUACCAAGGCGACGAUCCGUAACUGGUCUGAGAGGAUGAUCAGUCACACUGGAACUGAGACACGGUCCAGACGCCUACGGGAGGCAGCAGUGGGGAAUGUUGGACAAUGGGCGAAAGCCUGAUCCAGCCAUGCCGCGUGUGUGAAGAAGGUCUUCGGAUUGUAAAGCACUUUAAGUUGGGGGGAAGGGCAGUAAGUUAAUACCUUGCUGUUUUGACGUUACCAACAGAAUAAGCACCGGCUAACUUCGUG